rnacentral:rRNA from 1 species
UACGGAGGGUGCAAGCGUUAUCCGAAUUCACUGGGUUUAAAGGGUGCGUAGGUGGGCAAGUAAGUCAGUGGUGAAAUCUCCGGGCUUAACCCGGAAACUGCCAUUGAUACUAUUUGUCUUGAAUACUGUGGAGGUCAGCGGAAUAUGUCAUGUAGCGGUGAAAUGCUUAGAUAUGACAUAGAACACCAAUUGCGAAGGCAGCUGGCUACACAAAUAUUGACACUGAGGCACGAAAGCGUGGGGAUCAAACAGG